rnacentral:rRNA from 1 species
UCCACGCCGUAAACGAUGAAUACUAGGUGUCGGGUGUCAAAGCUCGGUGCCGCAGCUAACGCAUUAAGUAUUCCGCCUGGGGAGUACGCACGCAAGUGUGAAACUCAAAGGAAUUGACGGGGACCCGCACAAGCAGCGGAGCAUGUGGUUUAAUUCGAAGCAACGCGAAGAACCUUACCAGAUCUUGACAUCCAAUUGACCAUCUUUUAAUCGAGAUUUUGCCUUCGGGUACAAUUGAGACAGGUGGUGCAUGGUUGUCGUCAGCUCGUGUCGUGAGAUGUUGGGUUAAGUCCCGCAACGAGCGCAACCCUUGUGUUUAGUUGCAAACAGGUAAUGCUGUGCACUCUAGACAGACUGCCGUGGACAACACGGAGGAAGGUGGGGAUGACGUCAAAUCAUCAUGCCCCUUA